UACAGAGGGUGCGAGCGUUAAUCGGAUUUACUGGGCGUAAAGGGCGCGUAGGUGGUUAUGUAAGUGAGAGGUGAAAUCCCCGGGCUUAACCUGGGAACUGCCUCUUAUACUGUGUAGCUGGAGUGCGAGAGAGGGUAGUGGAAUUUCCGGUGUAGCGGUGAAAUGCGUAGAUAUCGGAAGGAACACCAGUGGCGAAGGCGGCUUCCUGGCUUGACACUGACACUGAGGCGCGAAAGCGUGGGGAGCAAACAGG
rnacentral:rRNA from 1 species